rnacentral:lncRNA from 1 species
CGAGGAGAAUUUGUUAUUCAUCAUGUCUCACCUAACCAGGAACCAACCACUUGUCAUGUAUAAAAACUAGCAUGUACCCUACACUCUGCUUGAGCACAAAAGUUAUAAAUAGGCUAUUUAGAUGCAUCAUUGUACAUAUUCAGAUACCAUCGAUACAAAGAAAUAAAACUAUUGUUUAUAUAGUUUGCUUCGUUUAGAGAAUGGUGUAUAAUUUAAG